rnacentral:rRNA from 1 species
UUCGCAAUGCCCGAAAGGGUGACGAAGCGACGCCGCGUGUGGGAAGAAGGCCUUCGGGUUGUAAACCACUGUCGGGAGUUAAGAAAUGCAAGGAUAUUAAUAGUGUCUUUGUUUGACUAAGGCUCCGGAGGAAGCCACGGCUAACUCUGUGCCAGCAGCCGCGGUAAUACAGAGGCGGCAAGCGUUGUUCGGAAUUAUUGGGCGUAAAGAGCACGUAGGCGGCUAUGUAAGUCGGUUGUGAAAGCCUUCCGCUCAACGGAAGAACAGCAUCCGAUACUACAUGGCUUGAGUGCGGGAGGGGAGAGUGGAACUUCUGGUGGAGCGGUGAAAUGCGUAGAUAUCAGAAGGAACGCCGGCGGCGAAAGCGGUUCUCUGGCCCAUAACUGACGCUGAGUGUGCGAAAGCUAGGGGAGCAAACGGGAUUAGAUACCCCGGUAGUCCUAGCCGUAAACGAUGGGCACUAAGUAGAGGGGUUUU